rnacentral:snRNA from 1 species
AUACUUACUUUGAAAGCACAUAUACUAAAAUUGGAACAAUACAGAAGAGAUUAGCAUGGCACAAGGAUGACAAGCAAAUUCAUAAAGUGUUCCAUGUUAAA